rnacentral:rRNA from 1 species
GACGAACGCUGGCGGCGUGCUUAACACAUGCAAGUCGAACGGAGUUACGUUUUCGGAUGUAACUUAGUGGCGAACGGGUGAGUAACGCGUGAGGAACCUGCCUUUCAGUGGGGGACAACAGUUGGAAGCGACUGCUAAUACCGCAUAAAACUAUUGAGUGGCAUCACUUGAUAGUCAAAGAUUUAUUGCUGAAAGAUGGCCUCGCGUCUGAUUAGCUGGUUGGUGGGGUAACGGCUCACCAUGGCGAUGAUGCGUAGCCGACCUGAGAGGGUGAUCGGCCACAUUGGGACUGAGACACGGCCCAA